CCUACGGGGGGCAGCAGUCGAGAAUCAUUCACAAUGGGGGAAACCCUGAUGGUGCGACGCCGCGUGGGGGAAUGAAGGUCUUCGGAUUGUAAACCCCUGUCAUGUGGGAGCAAAUUAAAAAGAUAGUACCACAAGAGGAAGAGACGGCUAACUCUGUGCCAGCAGCCGCGGUAAUACAGAGGUCUCAAGCGUUGUUCGGAAUCACUGGGCGUAAAGCGUGCGUAGGCUGUUUCGUAAGUCGUGUGUGAAAGGCGCGGGCUCAACCCGCGGACGGCACAUGAUACUGCGAGACUAGAGUAGUGGAGGGGGAAGCGGAAUGCUCGGUGUAGCAGUGAAAUGCGUAGAUAUCGAGCGGAACACUCGUGGCGAAGGCGGGUUCCUGGACAUUAACUGACGCUGAGGCACGAAGGCCAGGGGAGCGAAAGGGAUUAGAUACCCUUGUAGUC
rnacentral:rRNA from 1 species